UGGGGAAUAUUGCACAAUGGGCGCAAGCCUGAUGCAGCCAUGCCGCGUGCGUGAAGAAGGCCUUCGGGUUGUAAAGCACUUUCAGCGGGGAGGAAGGCGGUGAGGCUAAUAACCUCAUCGAUUGACGUUACCUGCAGAAGAAGCACCGGCUAACUCCGCGCCAGCAGCCGCGGUAAUACGGAGGGUGCAAGCGUUUAUCGGAAUUACUGGGCGUAAAGCGCACGCAGGCGGUCUGUCAAGUCGGGUGUGAAAUCCCCGGGCUCAACCUGGGAACUGCAUUCGAAACUUGCAGGCUAGAGUCUUGUAGAGGGGGGUAGAAUUCCGGGUGUAGCGGUGAAAUGCGUAGAGAUCUGGAGGAAUACCGGUGGCGAAGGCGGCCCCCUGGACAAAGACUGACGCUCAGGUGCGAAAGCGUGGGGAGCAAACAGG
rnacentral:rRNA from 1 species